GUUGAUGUUGAAUCGUGAUGGAUGAGAACCGAAAGGUUCGACAAAAUCGGCAGUAUCGAUUUUGAACAACGCCAAGGCGUUGGCCCGAAGGGCGAGUAAUCCUGCACGACCCACCA
rnacentral:sRNA from 1 species